GAGUUUGAUCAUGGCUCAGAUUGAACGCUGGCGGCAUGCCUUACACAUGCAAGUCGAACGGCAGCAUGAUCUAGCUUGCUAGAUUGAUGGCGAGUGGCGAACGGGUGAGUAAUACAUCGGAACGUGCCCUGUAGUGGGGAUAACUAGUCGAAAGAUUAGCUAAUACCGCAUACGACCUGAGGGUGAAAGUGGGGGACCGCAAGGCCUCAUGCUAUAGGAGCGGCCGAUGUCUGAUUAGCUAGUUGGUGGGGUAAAGGCCCACCAAGGCGACGAUCAGUAGCUGGUCUGAGAGGACGAUCAGCCACACUGGGACUGAGACACGGCCCAGACUCCUACGGGAGGCAGCAGU
rnacentral:rRNA from 1 species